rnacentral:rRNA from 1 species
GUGCCAGCCGCCGCGGUAAUACGGGGGGGGCAAGCGUUGUUCGGAAUUACUGGGCGUAAAGGGUCGGUAGGUGGCCAACUAAGUCAGACGUGAAAUCCCUCAGCUUAACUGGGGAACUGCGUCUGAGACUGGAUGGCUCGAGUGCAGGAGAGGAACGCGGAAUUCCAGGUGUAGCGGUGAAAUGCGUAGAUAUCUGGAGGAACACCGGUGGCGAAGGCGGCGUUCUGGACUGCAACUGACACUGAACGACGAAAGCCAGGGGAGCAAACGGGAUUAGAAACCCUGGUAGUCC